GCGCUCAAGGCCACGUCCACGUCCGUCGACCGAUAGUUUGCACGCUUAAGUGUAUAUUCAUUGUCCAGAUCCCCGUCCGCGGUUGAUCGACGACGGACGUCCGCGUAGUAUGUUCCUAACUUAAAUUAUUAAGGAUGAUUUACUAGUAGGUACUACUUAUAUUAAAUGCUGUACCUUUAUAUUUUA